rnacentral:tRNA from 1 species
GUUAGGGUAGCUUAUAUUAUAGAGCAUGGCACUGAAGCUGCUAAAGAGAAGAAUCAGCUUCCUCUGGCG